GACGAACGCUAGCGGCGCGCCUAACACAUGCAAGUCGAACGAGAGAUGAAGAGCUUGCUCUUCAAAUCGAGUGGCGAACGGGUGAGUAACGCGUGAGGAACCUGCCUCAAAGAGGGGGACAACAGUUGGAAACGACUGCUAAUACCGCAUAAGCCCACGGCUCGGCAUCGAGCAGAGGGAAAAGGAGUGAUCCGCUUUGAGAUGGCCUCGCGUCCGAUUAGCUAGUUGGUGAGGUAACGGCCCACCAAGGCGACGAUCGGUAGCCGGACUGAGAGGUUGAACGGCCACAUUGGGACUGAGACACGGCCCAGACUCCUACGGGAGGCAGCAGUGGGGAAUAUUGCACAAUGGGGGAAACCCUGAUGCAGCGACGCCGCGUGGAGGAAGAAGGUCUUCGGAUUGUAAACUCCUGUUGUUGAGGAAGAUAAUGACGGUACUC
rnacentral:rRNA from 1 species